GAUGAACGCUAGCGGGAGGCCUAACACAUGCAAGCUGAGCGGUAUUGUUUCUUCGGAAACGAGAGAGCGGCGUACGGGUGCGGAACACGUGUGCAACCUGCCUUUAUCAGGGGGAUAGCCUUUCGAAAGGAAGAUUAAUACUCCAUAAUAUAAUAGAUGGCAUCAUUUAUUAUUGAAAACUCCGGUGGAUAGAGAUGGGCACGCGCAAGAUUAGAUAGUUGGUGAGGUAACGGCUCACCAAGUCAGUGAUCUUUAGGGGGCCUGAGAGGGUGAUCCCCCACACUGGUACUGAGACACGGACCAGACUCCUACGGGAGGCAGCAGUGAGGAAUAUUGGACAAUGGGUUAGCGCCUGAUCCAGCCAUCCCGCGUGAAGGACGACGGCCCUAUGGGUUGUAAACUUCUUUUGUACAGGGAUAAACCUAUCUACGUGUAGAUAGCUGAAGGUACUGUACGAAUAAGCACCGGCUAACUCUGUGCCAGCCGCCGCGGUAA
rnacentral:rRNA from 1 species